AAAGUCGUAACAAGGUUUCCGUAGGUGAACCUGCGGAAGGAUCAUUACAAAUCAGUAGUUGCGUGGAUCGGAUGGGUGUGGGGUAGAGUGGGAGGGGAGAGAUGGAGACAUCUAUCACCUGCCACCUGCCCGACGCCCUCUCAUCCGCCGACAACAUUUGCGCUUGUUGUGUUUGACAAAGUAGUAUUCUUACAAAAUUGACAACUUUUAACAACGGAUCUCUGGGCUCUU
rnacentral:misc_RNA from 1 species